rnacentral:rRNA from 1 species
AGAUGUGAUCAUACCAGUAGUAAUGCACAAGAUCCCAUCAGAACUCCGUAGUUAAGCGUGCUUGUGGGAUAGCAGUACUAAAUGUGGUGUAACUAAUUAGUUAUUUUCG